GUGGGGAAUCUUCCGCAAUGGACGAAAGUCUGACGGAGCAACGCCGCGUGAGUGAAGAAGGUUUUCGGAUCGUAAUGCUCUUUCGUUAGGGACGAACGUGCUCUUUGUGAAUAAUGAGGAGUAAUGACGGUACCUAAAUAAGAAGCCACGGCUAACUACGUGCCAGCAGCCGCGGUAAUACGUAGGUGGCAAGCGUUGGCCGGAAUAAUUGGGCGUAAAGCGCGCGCAGGCGGGAUAUCAAGUCUGUCUUAAAAGUCCGAGGCUCGACCUGGGGAGGGGACAGAAACUGGUAUUCUUGAGUGUCGGAGAGGAAAGUGGAAUUCCAAGUGUAGCGGUGAAAUGCGUAGAGAUUUGGAAGAACACCAGUGGCGAAGGCGACUUUCUGGACGAUGUCUGACGCUGAGAUGCGAAAGCCAGGGUAGCGAACGGGAUUAGAAACCCCAGUAGUCC
rnacentral:rRNA from 1 species